UACAGAGGGUGCGAGCGUUGUCCGGAAUCACUGGGCGUAAAGGGCGCGUAGGCGGCCUGAUAAGUAGGGGGUGAAAUCCUGUGGCUCAACUGCAGGGCUGCCUCCUAGACUGUCGGGCUUGAGCACGGUAGAGGCAGAUGGAAUUCCCGGUGUAGCGGUGGAAUGCGUAGAGAUCGGGAAGAACAUCGGUGGCGAAGGCGGUCUGCUGGGCCGUUGCUGACGCUGAGACGCGAAAGCGUGGGGAGCGAACAGG
rnacentral:rRNA from 1 species